rnacentral:rRNA from 1 species
CCAGACUCCUACGGGAGGCAGCAGUAGGGAAUAUUGCACAAUGGGGGAAACCCUGAUGCAGCGACGCCGCGUGAGCGAUGAAGUAUUUCGGUAUGUAAAGCUCUAUCAGCAGGGAAGAAAAUGACGGUACCUGACUAAGAAGCCCCGGCUAACUACGUGCCAGCAGCCGCGGUAAUACGUAGGGGGCAAGCGUUAUCCGGAUUUACUGGGUUUAAAGGGUGCGUAGGCGGUCCGGAAAGUCAGCGGUAAAAGCCGGGGGCUCAACCCCGGCGAGCCGUUGAAACUGUCGGACUAGAGACGGCGAGAAGUACGCGGAAUGCGCGGUGUAGCGGUGAAAUGCAUAGAUAUCGCGCAGAACUCCGAUUGCGAAGGCAGCGUACCGGCGCCGGACUGACGCUGAGGCACGAAAGCGUGGGUAUCGAACAGGAUUAGAUACCCCUGUAUA